rnacentral:rRNA from 1 species
GGGCCCGCACAAGCGGUGGAGUAUGUGGUUUAAUUCGAUGCAACGCGAAGAACCUUACCAGGGUUUGACAUCCUGCGAAUCUCUUGGAAACAGGAGAGUGCCUUCGGGAACGCAGUGACAGGUGGUGCAUGGCUGUCGUCAGCUCGUGUCGUGAGAUGUUGGGUUAAGUCCCGCAACGAGCGCAACCCACGUCUUUAGUUGCCAGCAUUUAGUUGGGCACUCUAGAGAGACUGCCGGUGAUAAACCGGAGAAGGUGUGGAUGACGUCAAGUCAUCAUGCCCCUUACAUCUGGGCUACACACGUACUACAAUGGUCGGGACAAAGAGAUGCUACCCUGCGAAGGCAAGCUAACCUCAAAACCCGAUCUCAG